AAAGGGCCCCCCUGGGCAGCCGUCGCGGCAGAACCUGGUCAGAUCCGGAAGGAAGCAGCCAUAGACGUGAAGGCUGGGUCAGGGUGUGGCCUUUUUGA
rnacentral:SRP_RNA from 1 species